GCCAAGUUGUAUGACGAGGUAAGCCUCAAAGUAGUCCCUGAAGUUACCCUCGAGUCUCAUAGUGAUCCCUGAAGUUAAAAAUUACUCAUAUUUAUCCCUGAAGUUGCACUCUGGGACUCAGACUCGUCCUUCCGGCC